rnacentral:lncRNA from 1 species
AUGGCGGCUGUCUUGGUGGAGAAUGCUGUUGCAAAAUCGCUUUCCAUUUCUAAGAAUUCGCUCCAUCUGUUACCCUCCUAACACUGUCUAGACAAUUUCAAAGUAUUACAUAAUUCAUAGUGGCUGAACACGUUCCUGUUUACUCCAGAGUUGGUUAACAAAGGUCACUGAUAAAAUAAUCUUUUUAACUGGAAUGAAAAACAUCUCAACAAUCCAAGACACUGAAGAGCUGGCCACACCAGGACUUUCUGAUAGUGAUUCAUGGGUGAAAUGAAAGCACAGCAGGCUCGCCAGUCCCUGGUUUCUGGCAAGGUUUUGACAGGUGUCCAAAAAUGAGACACCGGCUUGUGUCCACACUAGAGAAAUGGAGGCUGUUGUCUGUGGCCAGUCUUUUCAUUCUGCGACGGGCUGCGGAGCAAGAGCCUGGAGCUGGGGAUGCAGAACCGCCUGUCCAGGGAGGACCCGGGGCCGAGUUCCUGCAUAGGGCGCCUCAGAAGCUGUGGAAUGCACUUGACUCGGGCACCGAGUACUAGGACUCAAAGGAAAAGAAGAAGGAAAGGAAGCAGCACAGAAAGGAUAAACAUGGACAUGUUGAAAUGGCCCCAGACAGCAUCUGAAGAGCAACCGGAGCACGCCUACCGAUUUUUCAAAAGCCUGCAUCUGCGCAUGGGCGAGAGGUGGCCCACCACGCAGUGCCGAAUGAGCCCCGUGUCGCACGGCGAGCCCAUCGUGCCGGACUGA